AUUAUACCAGGCUUAUGUAAAACAUGAAUGCAAUCUCAUUUUUAGAGCUAAAGACCUGGAUCUUGGACGAUUGGCAAACGGUUUUGGUCUUCUGCAGAUGCCCAGGAUGCCUGAAACCAAAGGCAAAACAUUCCCAGAAUUCCAACCAUCUAUUGUCAAUAUUCAGAACAUCCCAUACAGG